rnacentral:rRNA from 1 species
AACGAACGCUGGCGGCAGGCUUAACACAUGCAAGUCGAGCGCCCCGCAAGGGGAGCGGCAGACGGGUGAGUAACGCGUGGGAACAUACCCUUUCCUGCGGAAUAGCUCCGGGAAACUGGAAUUAAUACCGCAUACGCCCUACGGGGGAAAGAUUUAUCGGGGAAGGAUUGGCCCGCGUUGGAUUAGCUAGUUGGUGGGGUAAAGGCCUACCAAGGCGACGAUCCAUAGCUGGUCUGAGAGGAUGAUCAGCCACAUUGGGACUGAGACACGGCCCAAACUCCUACGGGAGGCAGCAGUGGGGAAUAUUGGACAAUGGGCGCAAGCCUGAUCCAGCCAUGCCGCGUGAGUGAUGAAGGCCUUAGGGUUGUAAAGCUCUUUCACCGGAGAAGAUAAUGACGGUAUCCGGAGAAGAAGCCCCGGCUAACUUCGUGCCAGCAGCCGCCGUAA